rnacentral:lncRNA from 1 species
GGUAACAACUCUGCUCUUUCUUUUCCUAAACGGCCUGCAUUUAUUUCAAAAACAACUCACAAGGGUGAAGAUCUAUCAUGCUCUGGUGAGGGACUUUUAUCUGUAAAUAAUGUGACCAUGACUGUGCUUCAACCUCGCUAAAUGCUUACACUCUCACAUGUUGUAUGUUUAUCCUCCAUGACAAUGAACACUACAAGAAAAAAGCCUUUCAUUGACUGUUUUUCACCAUCAUGGUAUGGUAUAUCUGUCAAGGUAUGUUACUAUUUAUAUAUGUCAUCUAUGCUAGUGUCAAGAAAAGUUUAAAGCUGUCUUGACAUUUACAUAUGUUAAGGUUGUUUCUAUUUCUACCAAUGAUGGAAUCUUUGUUAGUAUGACAUAUGUCAAUUUUCUUUCACUUUUGUCGAGGUUGGAUUCAACAUAUGUCAAGAUUUCUUAAUCUUAUGUCAAGGUUAACUUGCUCUUCUGUUAAGGUUGCUACAACAAAUGUCAAGGAUAAGUAUAAUAUGUCAAGGUUUCUAGCUAUUGCAAUGUCAAUGUUGGGCAUUGGCCAUCUGUCAAGGUUGCUUAUUUCAAAUUUAAUAUUAUUUUACUAUAAUUUUUAGUUUUAAUGGAAAAUGAACCUAUUACCAUAUGAAACUUGUUUCCAAAUUAAAUUUGAUACAUAUUUAAUUAUGAUAAUAAUAACUAAGUCCUAAAACAAUGUAAAUAAACCAUUACUCAAGGGGAAAAAUCUUUUUUCUACUUACUCUCUAUUUUCUAUAUACAAAAAAAAAAAAAAAAAAAACUAAUUGCAAACAUUCAAUUAAGAUAAUAUACAAACUUAAAUUGAAAAGUACAAUACUAUCUUCAUAAGAGGUGGUCACUAAUUCUUCAUCAUCUUCUUCUUUUUGCUAUAUUUCUUGAAUACCUAGUAGGAUAGACACAACAUUAAUAGAAAAGUAAGCAACAAGUAUAAAAAUAGCAUUUUUCAAAUUAUAAGGUACUUUCAAUUGCAAGAAUACAUUAAACAUACAUGCAAUUUGUAGAUACCAUAUAUCUAGCAUUAAUCUUCAAGCCCGACCCUCUAGAAAGACCCCAAAAUUGUCAACACCUCUAUCUCAAACCUAUGAUAGAAAAAAAAACGAUGUUAACAAAAAGAAAAGCUCAAAUUGUGAAAUUAGAUGUCUAACUACAAUGAAAUAUUUUUAAGAUUGAAUUCUAAGUUUAAUUAUUGUGUUUUUAUAUUAUGGACUUAAAUAACUAUAAUAGUAUACUUCUUUUUAAUUUCUAAAAGGAAUGCAAAAAGGAAAAGAGAAAACAAAAGUUUCAAAUAUAUCUUUCAUGUUAUUUUGGCUUCUAAAUAGAUAAAAACUCACAUUAUCCAAGAAAUUGUUAAAAUUAAAAUUGAGCAUAAAUUUUAAUCAUCUCAAUCAUAAAUAAUGAAAUAUCUAAAUUCAAAUUCAUAGAAACCACACUAACUAUUAAUUUCAUGCACCAAAUGCAUCUAAUCUUAACAAAAUAAAAAAUCAAGGAUAUUCUCCUUCAAUUCUAAUAGGAUAAUAGAUCUUAUGUGUGCAAAUUUUGUCUUUAUUUCAAGAAUUAAUAAAUGCACAAGCUAUCUAGUUGAGAGCUUAAAUCUGUAAAUUUUUAAAAGAAAUAAAUUAAUUAAAUAAACAAAAAAGGUCUAAGAAAUGGAAAAUCUCCAAAAUUAAAGAGAAAAUCAAGCACAUUUCAUAAAUGGGAAAGAGUUAUGCAAUAUGCUGCUAUUCUUUUCUAACUAAUGUGAAAUUGAAAACAAAUUUGACACAAAGUUGUGUGAGAAUACAUCUAUAAGGUUCAUAGAAAUAAUGUGUAGAUUGCCAUUUAAAGCUAUGUAAACUAAGAAUGACAAAUAGCAAAUUAUAUUAUUUAUAUCUAUCAUACCUUGUUAAAAUACCAUGUCAAAUAUUCCAUAGAUAGACAACUACGCAUGAGUAUGAAAAUGUUGUCUAGAUGUUUUUCUCAUAGGCAGCUAAUGCAUGAGUUCAUUGAAUUCAAAACUUAACAACAAUUAAAGCUGACAAAGCACCCAAUUAUCAAUUAUUAAAGAACUCUUAAUGGGAGCAAAAACUAAAACUAAUAAAGUAACUAAUAACAAAAUAUAAGAGUUGCAUUGGUACCCAAUAUAAUGUUCUUCCUAAUGUAAUUGUGCUCAUUAAAACAAAAAACUUCACGGCAUAAAUUAAUUGAAGACCCCGUACAAGCAACAAGAAAAUACUUCAUACCAUUAUAGUGGUAAUUAAGGAUUAUAGAAACAAUUUUAGUUGGCUUGUGACUAUGAAUCGAAGAAUUAAAAUUUUGUGAGGGUUGAUUUAUUGCUUAUCAAUAAGAUAGCAUAUCAAUAUUUAACAAAAGAAAGAGUUUCAAGCAAUCAUGAAUCAUAACAUUAAAAUUUAGCCCUAAAAAGAGGGGAAAAAACAAAGAGAAAGAACCAAACCAAAGGAGCCCAACUAAAAAUUCAAGUGCAUAAAUAAGUAAAAUUAAAUAGUUAACCAUAUUAAAGAGAAAACCAUGUCCCAUUAUGCAAAUUGUUUUUGUGUGCCCAAAUAUACAGUUCUGUUUCUUCAAAUUGCAUUAAAAGUCCAAUGGUAUCUGUAAAGGAAAUAAUAGAGAUAAAAUUUAAAGGUAAUCUACUCAUAAUUAUUUCAAUUAACACAUCCAAAUAUUAUGGAUCAAUAGAGAAAUCAAUUUAAAGAAAACUAAACAUCAGCCUUUACUAGCAUAAAACGAAAACAAAAUUUUUUUUUUUAAAAAAAAAAAAUAAUUCAUUAGAUAUCAGAUUAUUUUUGGGGCAACAAAAUUGAGACACAUAAUUGCAUUAACCAUUGAUGCCUACAAACUCAAUUCGAAACAUAAAAAUGAAAUUGAACAUGAAUUUCAAGCUUCAAAAUUGCGAACCAAAAAAACACUUACAAAAUGUUAGAAAAGAAUGGGAAGAAAAUUUCUAAAAUAGGAUAUUCUAAGAUGCCUUUUUUUAGUUAUCUUUCUUAGUUUUUCUAUAAUCAAAGAGAGUAAAAAAGGAAAAGAAAAAGUGAAGAUGGAAGAGAAUUAGAUAAUAGAGUAAAAUUCACCAAUUAUCUUAAUUGCAAUAAUUUUCAAGAUUACCCUUAAGCCAUAUUUGACUCAUUUUUUUUUUCAAACUUUCCUCGCGUUUUAAAAUGAACUUCUUUACAAAUGGAAAAUCUCAUAACUUAACAUAAUAAAUGAUAUCAAAAUAGAGAAGUUUGAACAUAAGUCAAUAAUUUCUCUAUUGUGUUAUUGCUACGAAUAUAUUUUGCAUGAGUAUAUUAUUUGGAUUCAUAGAGAUAGAAAGAAACCGAACUCUGUUAUUAUGUUGAACAACAAAUUUUCCUAAAAGUUUAAGCUUAUAGGAUUUGAGAUCAAUAUGUGUUUUAUGUCUGUUAACACUCAACACAUAUUUCAAUAAAAAAUUUCAUGAACUCCUCAAACAUUUAUACUACAUACAACUUAGGGCACCAAAGAAUACGAGUAAAAGGAGUAUAUGCUAGAAGUCAUUAUUUCUAAUGUUUAGUGGAUUUAAUAUUUAUAUUAUUAAAAAUUAAUAUUUAUGUGAAUAAAAAAUAUCUCAACAUAAAAUUACAAAAUUUUAAUUAUUUCUAAAGAAAUUUAUUAAAUUUAGAAAUUUUAAAAUUUAGUUUUUAUUAUCUGAUUUACUAUUAAAUGCUUAUUAUUUUGGUUUUCUUUAUUUUUUCAAUGGUCUUUUUCCCAAAUUAUUUCAUAUAUCUAUAAUUUUGUCGAUCUUUGACACGUGGAUUAUCUUGGAAAAUGUUCUUAAUAACAAAGAAAUAUUCCUUCUUGUGAUGAGUAUGAACUAGAAUUCUCGUUUUUUAGCGAAUAGAGCUCCCCAAUUUGGUGAGGAAAUGAGAUAGUCACUCUUUUUUUUUUGUAGUUACUCGCAUUAUGUACUCAAAGUAUUUAUCCAAAUAUCCAAUACACUUACGAAACCACACUUUUUCAUUUCCAAAAUGUAACAUACGUGACUAUAGGCUUGCACACUUGAAAAGCAAUACUGACAUUUAACAUCGAAGGAUUUAAUUGUGGUCUUGUGUUUUUUUGAGGUCCUAUAAACAGGUGAAAACUUAAAAUAACAUUGACUUGACCAACUCAACAUGUGAUUACGUUGUAUACGUCAAUGUAGUCAAUAGAAUUUCUUUCCCUUGACUUGGCAUCGAGUACGCUAGUGCCAGCCUUAUCUUCCCAUGGGAACUUGAACAAUUUGAGCAAUUGGCCAUUGCCAACCACAUUUUUAAGUAAUGUCUUCUUCCACCCUUCAAAUAUCUUAAAAUCCAUUAAGUUUUAUGUAGAUAUCAUUUUCACUUUUAAACCUUACUUAUUAUCAUUAAGCUUUGUAACGUAGCCGUCACUCACAAGUUGCACCAAAAUUGAAGUUUAACUGUUGGGUAGGCGCAAUUUUGAAGUGAUCAAGCUAUGAUACAUUUAAUACCACUGCAACUUGGUCUCAUUCAUAAAUGUGGUGUGGAGAUAGUACCAUAGUUUUAAAAGGCGCAAGGCACACCUAAGGCACAAAAGUAUCCUAUAACUUAGGCACAAGGCACAACACAAAGCGCUCACAUGAGUGAAGUGAAACCUAACCUAGUAUGCAUAUCAAUUUUAUAAAAUAUGAUACAAAACUCAAUCCAAUCAAUAAAAAAUUUAAUACUUUAAAAGAAGUAUUCAACAAAAAAAUAUAUGUAAUAAAAUUAUGUAGAUUUUAAUAUACAAUUAGAAAUUUCAAGAAUAAAAGUGUUUAAAAAUGAAAAGUAAAGUAGACAAGGCACACCUCUUCAACAAGGCACAUGUCUUGGCAAGCAAUGUACUAUAGCUAGGGAGUGGUUGUGCUUUGAGCCUAACCGUGCUUUAAGCACGCCUUUUAAAACUAUGGUUUGGUGACCAUUUUAAAAAACAAUUCUGAAAAAUAGUUUUUGAGAACAGUUUUUGAAAACUAUUCUCUGAUUCUUGUAGAUUAAUAAAAGUAUAUUUGGAAACCUAAAAUGUUUUUAUCUUGUUUUAAAUAUUUUUAAAUAUGUUUUAAAAGUAUUUUUAUAUCUAGUAUUUUAUUUUUAAUCAUUUUACAUGUUUGUAUAAUUAUUUCUUAAAACAAUUAUAAAAAAAACAAGUGAAAAAGUCAGAAAAUAAUUUUUAGUUGUCAAACAAUUUUUCUAUGUUUUUUGUUCUAGAAAACAAAAAACUAUUUUCAAAACCGGUUCCCAAACAUGCCUUUAAUAUGGGGUUGAGUGUUUUUUUUUUCUUGCUUUCAAGAUAUUAAGGAUUUAUAUUCUUAAUUUUUUUUCCCAUCUAUUUUCCCCACAAUCAAAUAAGCAUUAUUUAUUGUUAUACUUCCAUGACAAGGAAAGAAAGACAAAACAAAAUGUUGUAUAAUUUGAGACUUGGUGCUACAUGGCUGCAAGACUCUCUAGGAGAUAAGGAGCAUGAAGAAAGUACAACCAAUUCUGAAUUACAAUUCUUUGAUAUGAACACCAUAGCUACAGCCACAAAUAAUUUCUCUUCUAAGAACGAACUUGGAUGUGGUGGUUUUGGCUCAGUUUAUAAGGUAGUUAGUCAUUCUCAAAUUUAUGAUGACAUUGCACAAGUAUCACGCUAAGCUGAAUUUUCCAUAAACUAAUUCUACAUGAUGAUUACCAGGGUCAACUAUCUAAUGGAAAAGAAAUAACUAUGAAAAGAUUAUCAAAGGAUUCGGGACAGGGAAAAAAAGAAUUUAAGAAUGAAGUAACACUUAUUGCUAAACUCCAACACAUAAAUCUUAUGAGGCUUUUGGGUUGUUGCAUUCAAGGAAAAGAGAAGAUGUUCAUUUAUGGGUCCUUGCCAAACAAAAGUCUCGACUUUUUCAUUUUUAGUAUGUACCAUUUCUUUUCUAUCAUUUCCAUUUCUUUAAUCUUCUAAGGUUCUUGCAUAAUCACUUGGAGAAGUUAUUUGCCUAAUAAAAAUCAUUAUUAGUAUAUCCCAACUUUGUUUUACUGAUUGACAUUUUAUAUAUCUUUGGGCUAGAUGGAAAAAAAAAAAAAAAGUCAGUGUUAGAUUGGAGAAAACGCUUUGAAAUUAUUAUGGGAAUUGCUCAAGGAAUCUUAUAUCUUUAUGAGGACUCUAGAUUAAGAGUCAUACGUACACAGAGAUCUAAAAGCAAGCAAUGUUCUACUGGAUGUUGAAAUGCUUCCAAAAUUUUCAGAUUUUGGCAUGGCUGGAAUAUUUGGAGGAAAUCAAAUGGAAGGAAACACAAAUCGAGCAGUUGGAACAUAGUAAGUGUCAUGUUUGAGAUGCCAAAGAAACAAAAUAGUUAAUAUGUUUUAAUAGUUUCUUUUAUUUUCUAUUACAGUGGUUACAUAUCACCUGAGUAUACGAUGGAAGGGUUAUUUUCAACAAAAUUUGAUGUCUAUAAUUUCGGAGUUUUGUUGUUAGAGAUUGUUACUGGAAGAAAAAAUAGCACUUAUUAUCAAGAUAGUUCAUCUGUUAACUUAGUUGGAAAUGUAAAUGAGAAUGUGUGUUGCAUUACUUUUUUCUUUUCAUUCUUUAUAGUAAGUUAAUAAUGGUAAAAUUCUUAGUUUUGGAACCUAUGGGAAGAAGACAAAGCCUUGGAUAUAAUCGAUCUGUCGCUUGAGAAGUCAUACCUUGUAGAUGAAGUAUUGAGAUGCAUCCAAAUUGGGCUCUUAUGUGUGCAAAAAUUUACAAUAGAUCAACCUACCAUGUUGACAAUUAUUUUCAUCUUUGGUAACAACUCUUCUCUUCAUUUUCCUAAACGGACUACAUUUAUGUCAAAAACAACUCAUAGGGGGGAAGACCUAUCAUCCUAUGGUGAAGGACUUUUCUCUGUAAAUGAUGUGACCAUGACUUUGCUUCAACCUCGCUAAUUGCUUACACUCUCACAUGUUGUAAGUUUAUCCUCCAAGACAAUGAAUUGUGUACACAAUAUCACAAAGAGAACACCUUUUGAUUUAGUGAUCAUAGUUAGAUAAUUAUCCAACUCUGUAAAUGUAUGUUCAAAGAUAGGGCAAGAAUGGAAGCUUGUAGGUAUAGUCAAAUAAUCAAUUAAGUAUGAUUAGCUCUCAACAUUAAGGCCCUAAAAUCAUAUAAUUAAAAUGGUUCAAAUGGAGCUAAUAGAUCAAAUAGUUCCAUAUGGGUAAUGGAAGAGCUUGGAAUGAAGCAAUGCAUUGGUUCUUAUGCUAUGCCUGAUGAUGGAAAGACUGAAUGUUCAAUUGGUAAAUCUUCAAAUCUGCAAAAUAAUUGGAGACUAUCACGAGGCAUUUCUCAUAUUUUCCUUUUUGCUAGGAUGGUCAAAUCUGCUUUCUCUUUUAAAUUCAAGGCAUACUCGUGGUUCCUAAAAUGAAUUACUAGGGCCAUUCACUUUUCCUAUCAAGCAGUGAGUGACAAUUGGAAAAUAUGCCCAUUUGAAUUUUGGAUCGUUGGUUGCCUUUACCAUAAGGCAUCUUAGUGUUGUAUUGAUUCCUGAAGUAGUCAAUAAAUGAAAAGAAGUUUUUCUAUUUUGGGCAUGGCACAUGAUAUCAAAUUUGGCAGUAUAUGGAUGUUUAGUAUAUGAGCAUCUUUAUUGCAAAUGAUUUUACAAAUCUUCAGUACAUUCUUCAUCGGAUUUCUACUUUUGAUCUAUUAAAUACUGUAGAUGGUCGAACAUGGGUGCCAACUACAAGGUAUGACUUCAGAUCCAAGACAUCUAAAAUUCAAAGUUAAGAAUUGAUUAUGUGAAAUCAAGGGGAAAAAUAUCAUUGGGAAAUGAAAACAAUUUUGAGAAAUGAUAAUUACAAAGACUUUAAAGAGUGAAAAGUUGAUUGACCUUGGGUAUAGUUGGACAAUCCAACCGAUUAUACUAUCAUCGAGUUAGGUUGGGAGAGGGAGAGCCAACAUAUUCAUAACUUUAAGAUGAAAAAUGGUUUAGUUUAAGGACCUCAGGGCAUCCCUAAUUUGGUUGGUUUUUAGUACUGACUAAUGGUAAGAUUUUCCUCUUUUUUUUCUUUACUUUUUUUCCAAUCUCAUUGACAAAUGAGUGACAAUGAGUGUUAAAAGAAUAAUUAAAGAGACAACAUUACUUCAAGGCGGGGCACAAGGGAAGAAAGACAACAAAAAGUGUUAUAAUUUGAGUUUUAUUGCUACAUGCCUCAAGAAUUAGUCCCCAAGAACAAAGGAGUGAAGUGUAAAUAGUGUAAAUUCUAAAUUAUCAAGGAAUUCAAGAUAAGGAGUAGAAGAAUUAAUAUAAGAAAACAUGAAUAUAAGGAUCCUGUGAAGUUCUUAGGUUGUUGCAUAUAAGGAGAAGAUAAAGAUGUUAGUCUAAGAAUACUUAUUGAACAAUAGUUUGAACUCUUUUAUUUUCAUCCUAUCUUUUUAUUUUAUUUUAUUUUUUUAUUUUGACAAUUUCUAAAUCUCUUCAUCUCUUUUGCUUGUGAUCUCACCGUUAUCACAUGAAAAAUUUGUUUUACAUUAAAACUAUUGUGGACCCGCAUUUUUCACGUGCGCCCCCACUCGAUCGGCGAGACUCGCUUUUUAUUUGUGAAAAAUUAAUUUUUGGAAAAAAGUUGGAGUCGCCACUUAUUUUAUUUUUAUUUUUAAAGGGAAAAUAAAACAAGAAAUAAAACCCUAAAAAAUGACUCCAUAAUUUUUGGAAAAGCGUGUCUUUGAAAAACCAAGUCUCGGUCCGAGGAUCAGGUUACCUAUUGGGAAGGUACCUCUAAGAGGUAGCACCCCUUUAAGCCCUAUAAGGGUCUCUACUAACUAAGUUGAGGGAAAUGUGACAAUUAAUUGGUUAAUUAUAAGUACCUAAGUAGGCUAGGUGAUUCAAAAAAAAAUAGCAUGCCAAACGAAAUCAAAUCACAAUAAAGGAGAGUUAGGGUACAUACCUGGACUGCCUCUCAAGCGUUAUCACAAGACAUCAAAGUUAGUAUAGAGAUAUAGCACGCAACAUGCAUCUUAUCCAAGCAAGUCAAACAUACAUCUAAGCACCCAAGGAUUAAAUCAAAACAUGGAUAUAGCUCAUGAUAGCAUGCAUUUUCAUAGAAUUUUGGAAUUAGAGGAUAGAGAACGUACUUGGAUAGCAAGUAUAUUUUAUAAGAUUCCUCGAAAAAUGCUAGAUUGGUUAGGGCAAGCAUAAAUUAUAUGAAAUAUCCAUUAUGUCUAAUAUACAGUUUCAAAGCCAAAAUUGAGCUAAGACAAAUUAAAUGACUCCAAAAAUAAUAACAAUUUCAAGUAAGGUAUAAAACCAUCAACAUGCGGUUAGAAAAUGAAGCAUCAUAAAACAAUUUCUAAAAAAAUGGCUUAGAGUGGAAUUUGAUUACAAAAAAUUUCAGGAAACAACUCCUACACACCUAGAUUAAUAUACCGAAAGCCAAACACUCAUUCAAAAGACAGAUUAUCGCAAAGGCACCUAAAGGUUCUACAAAGUCCAGAUUAGAUAAGGAAAAGUGACGUGCAUAAAUGAAUUUUUUAAAACUAAUAAAUGAUCAUAUAAAAUCAUUAAAAAGAAAUCAUACAUAUUUCAAAAUGUCUAUAUCACAUAAAAAAUAAAUUCGGGGUCGAAUAGUACUUACAAAUAUUUUUAAAACUAUAAAUCUAAUCAGAUGUACAAACUCCAGCAUGCGCAGUAGGCACAACUUUGAAAAAUCAUAUCUCCCUCAAAAAUGCAUAUUUUCUAAUAUUUUAUGUGUCUAAAAUCAAUUUCAAGAAGCUUAUAAUUGAGAAAAAAAUAUUGAAUCAAUUUUAAAAAGUCCUCUAGUAUUUUAUUUUUUCCAAAAGAUCUUGGGUGUCCAGAACUAUGUGAAAACGGAGUCCCCCUAAAGACUCAUUUAUAUCUUCUAUCUCAGAAUGACUUUCUAACUCAAACAAAACCUCAAAUUCAAGUUCAAGAAGUGAGGAAAGUCAUAAAAUUUCUGGAAAUUUUUUACAGAUAUCCUAAAGUUUUCAAAAUGAAUUUUUGAAGUUGAAGGGUCAGUGGUUUGAUGAAAACUGCAGCAAAGAUUAAAUCAUUUAAUACCUAAGAUGGGUAGUUCUUUUCUUUUUAACAAACCGAUUUUAGAUCAAGAAAUCUCAGUAGGAAGGGGUCUCAACAGGUAUACUGAUGUUAUAGCUGCACCUGAGAUGACAAAGUCUUGCGUAUUUUGUAGGAAGAUAAUCAUAAACAGGGUGCACAAUGGGGAAUUCUUGUCAGAAUGGUAGCUACUCCCUUACGUGUUGAAGCUGAUGUAUAAUAUAAUUUCCCCACUAGCUGCCACCAUCCCUACAUAUCUAUCACUAUCAUCCAGCCCUGAUCCCAAGGGACCCACCAUUUGAAGUCUCAUUUAAAAAAAAAACAUAAAUUUUAUGCUGCAAUCUGGAUCUAAUUCCACUACCCUUUUGACCACUGAAGUUGUGCAAUGUACGAAUGUUUUGUCCACCAAUCUGCUGCUCUCUCUUUUAAGUGUACACCACUCUUAUAAAUCUCAUGCACAACUUCCUCUUUGAGUGUAUACACCCUCUCUCUCAAGCACAAAUUAGAACACGAAACCAAUUAUAGAACAAAGUGAUAAUAUCACUGAGUAAGGAGUUCUCAACAAACAUACUGAGGAACGCUCUCUUCUGGCAAGGAGAUCCCACUGGUAUGUCGUCUGAGAUUUCUUCAACCGCCCUCUCCUUCUUCUCCACCAACAGCUUCUCACUAGAAAGUCUUCUCUGAAACUCCAAUUUUUCCGCCUCUCUCUCUUUUUUUUUUUUUUUUUUCUUCUAUGUGCUCAAAGUUCUCCCCCCAAAACCUAUCUGUUAUAGCUUUUUAUAGCAAAUAACAGUCCUUCUACGUGAGGAGUCUUCCUCUCUCCAAAUUUUAUCUUAUGCACCGGAAAAACUCAUUUUUUUUUAAAUUUCAAACAAUACCAAUCCACGCAUAUCACCUACAAUCCAUGCAUAUCAUUUAAAGAGUUUUACCGUUUUCAAAAACUUCUUCAAUGGUAGACUUCUUCCAUAAAAAUUUCAAAUUAUUGAAUUAAAUAAUAAAAUAAAUAAUAAAUAAUAAAAUAAAUAAAUAAAUCGAAGAAUAUAAAAUGAUAAUAAUAGAUAAAUGAAUAAAUAACAAGAUAAUAAACAAAUAAGUAAGAAUACUAAAUAACUAAAUAACUAAAAAUGAUUGAUAAUAAUGAAAAAAUAUUAAAAUAAAUGAAUAAAUAAAACCAUAAUAAAUGAUCAAAUAAAAGUGGUUAGUAAUAAUAAAAAAAUAAAAAUAAAUAAAUAAGUAAAUGAGAUAAAUGAGUCAUACAACCAUACAAGUCAUACUAAAAAAAAGACUAAUGGGCCAAGUGGGCCUGAGUGAACUUAGACAGGUCUGGGGUGUCUAAAUAGACCAAGUGUAUCUAAAUAGGCUUAGGGUGCCUAAAUGGGUCAAGGGUGCCUAAGUAAAGUCUAGUCUAAAUCAAGACUACCGAGGAUCACAAUAAAGGGGCGGAUAAUCCCUUAACCAAAGUCUCCGAGGUGACUCAGAAAAAGGUAAGUCGUACGAGUAGUAAUGGGCAACCAAGGAACUACCGUGGAGCACUGGAAGUGAAUUUAAAGACAUGUGCUAAAAGGACAAAAUUGAGGGUCUACAACUAUAUAAUAGUAUUUUAAUAUGGUGUCAGAGUCUCAUUUGGUGUGAGAUCAUGUAUUCAAAUCUAAUUGUAUAUUUAUUUUCCAAUUUGUAGUUGUUUGCCUAUUGGGGGUCACACGCGAGGAAGGGUAUUAAAAACAUAAUAUAGCUUACGAACUCAAAUCUUAUAAGUAGAAAAAUUAUAAUUUGUUUAAACCUUUAGAAAACUUGUAGUUUAACAUGAUUAAACUUUCAUAUUUUUUGUUUUGAUGAGACAAAAAUGUCAAUUUUAGAUUGGAUAAAAAAUUUCAAAAUUAUUGUUGAAAUUUCUUAAGGACUUUUAACUUAUGUUUGGUUUCUUGAAAAUAAUAUGAAACAAAAUUAUAAGAAAAUGAUUCCCUCUUGUUUAACUUAUUAUAGAAAAUAUUAUAAAAAUUUAAAUAUAAUUAAAAUGAGUAAGAAAUUAAUGUAUUUUUAAAUUAUUUAAUCUUUAUAUAGAAGAGAAAAAACUAUUUUUUUUUUUUUUUCACUUUUUCCUUCUAUUUUCACUUAGUGUUUUCUAUCCCUUACAUUUUUCGUCAAAUCUUCCAAGAACCAAAUAUAGGGUUAUAUCUUCAUCAAGACUUAAACCAUACAUAGCGAUAUAAAAGCAAGCAAUUAAUAUUCUACUAUAUACUAAAAUGAUUCCAAAAAUUUCAGAUAGAUUUUGGUAUGGCUAAAAGAUUUGGAGGGAACCAAAUAGAAGGAAACACAAAUCUGGUGAGGUUGGAACAUGGUUAGUGUCAUGCACCAAAUGUCAAAACACAACAUUGAACAAAUCUUUCCAGUUUGUUUUAUUUGUCACUGCAGCAGCUAUAUAUAACUUUUGUGUCAUCUGAGUAAGUAAUGGAAGGGUUAUUUUCAAUAAAAUAUGAAGUUUAUAGCUUUGGAGUUUUGCUAUUAGAAAUUAUUUUGGGAGAAAAAACAAUUAAUGCUCACUACCAUGAUAAUCCCUCCUUGAACUUGGCUGGACAUGUGAGUUACUUGAAUUUCUUAUAGCUUACUUCUUCUUCACUGUAAGCUGAUGCUAUAAAAAAAUAAAUUCAGGUUUGUAACUUAUGUAGAGAAGGCAAAGCUUUGGAUAUGAUUGAUCCUUUAUUAGAAAAGUCAGAUCCUGCAGAUGGAUGAAGUGCCGACAUGCUUCCAAAUUGGGCUCUUAUCUGUGCAAGAAUGCCAACUACCUACCAUGUUCUUUGGUAACAACCCUACUCUUCCUUCUCCUAAGCCACCUGCAUUUAUUUUGAAAAUUAGCAUGUAACAAUGGUGAGUUCCCAUCAACAUCAAGUGUAGGAAGCUUGUUUUGAAGCUUGCUGAUUGCUCAAGCUCUGAUAAGUUGUAAAAAUUAAUUAUUUUACCUACCAGAGGUAGUGUACACAAAUAUCAUUAAAGUUCUCUCUCUCUCUCUCUCUCUUCUGGUUUUUCUCCAAAGGCAACAAUGACGUAAAAUAUUGAGAAGAACCACACAGUCUAACAUCAGCUUCCUCCAUGUCAAGAAUGAGAUACAAAGGUUGUAGUGUAAAAAGUUUAAAAUAUUGUUCCCUGGAAUGAUCUCAACUUCUUGAUGAUUUGUUUCUGCAGCAUCUGCUAAUGGUUCUUGACCUGUUUCUUUCAGCCCAUAGCUGCUCCAUCCUUGGCCCAAUCUUUUUCUAUUUAUUAUUGCGAAUUAAACGAACCCAUUCCUAUCUGAUCAUGAACUGAUCUCUUGGCACAAGGCCUAGAUAAGACAGCCUGUUCUUGUACUUCUUUUAAUGUUGCUACUACUUAACUAACAGUUCCAAGGUAGCUGAUGCUGAGGGAUAUUUCACAAUAUUCACCAUAUUUUAGGUACCAUUUUAAAUUAGUAUAAUAUAUAAAAUAAAAAAGAAAAUAAAGAUAUUUUAUCCUAGGUUUAUUUAUAUAUAUAUAUUAACUUUUUUUUAUUACUUAUUUUGAAAAAUAAAAUUUUUUAUUUAUAAAUUUUAAAUAUUUUUAAUCAUGAGUAUUAUUAAUAAAUAAAUAAAUAAUUAUUUACUAAAUAUCAAAUUAUUGAAAAUUUUCUAAAUAUCAUUAAAUGUAAGAGAAAAUUUAUAUUUUUUAAUAGCACAUAUAGAAAUAUAAUAUAAUUUUAUUUUAAACAAAUAUUGGAAAUUUGAGAAAUAAUAUUCAUAAGCUUGCAAACUUGAAAAGCCAUAUUGACAUUUAACAAUGAAGGAUUUAAAUGUGGUCUUGAUUUUUUGACGUCCUAAAAACAGGUGAAAACAUAAAAUAACAUUGACUUGACCAACUCCAUGGGAUAUAAGUUUCAAUGUGGUCAAUAGAAUCCAUAAGCAUUAAUCAAUAAUUAAGUGGGUCCUUCUUUCCCUUGACUUGGCAUCGAGUAGGCUAGCGCCAGCCUCAUCUUCGCAUGGGAGACGGCAAAUGCACCAAAUAUAGCAGGAACAAUUGAGCAAUUGGCCAUUGCCAAACACCUCUUUAAGUAAUGCCUUCAUCCUCCCUUCAAAUAUCUUAAAUCGAUUCAAUUUUAGGUAGAUAUCAUUGUCACUUUUGACCCUUACUUUUUAUCAUUAAGCUCCGUCAUGUAGUCGCCACUCGCCAGUUCAAUUCAUGCAUCAAAAUUGAAGUUUAACAGUUGGGUUGGUGCAAUUUUGAAGUGAUCAAUGCUAUGAUAGGUUUAAUGCAACUGCAACUUUGUCCAAUUCAUAAAUGUGGCGUGGAGAUAGUACAAAUGCAAUUCUCACGUCAUUUGCUCCACUUGUUCCUUCACGGUAUGCCUCGUUAGUUUGUGUUGUAGACUUUCUCUGUCUCUUCCACCAGCGCUCAGCAUCGGUAACACGGAAGUCACCACUUUAUCAGGAAGUCACAUAUGCAUCCUGUAAAGAUGUUUCUUCAGUACUUGAUUCUAUUCCUUAUGCUCCCACUUUGCAGCUCCACUGACACCAUAACUCCUAACCAACCCUUCAGAGAUGGUGACCUUCUAGUCUCUAAAGAGUCCAGGUUUGCUCUUGGCUUCUUCAGUCCACGGAAUUCUACACUCCGAUAUAUUGGAGUUUGGUACAACACAAUUCGUGAACAAACCGUUGUAUGGGUUCUUAACAGAGACCAUCCUAUCAAUGAUACCUCCGGAGUCCUCUCCAUCAACACUUCUGGAAACCUCCUUCUGCACCGCGGAAACACUCAUGUAUGGUCCACAGACGUUUCCAUCUCAUCAGUGAACCCUACUGUGGCUCAGCUGUUAGAUACCGGAAACCUAGUCUUGAUCCAAAAAGAUGACAAGAUGGUUGUGUGGCAAGGCUUUGAUUAUCCCACAGAUAAUUUGAUUCCACACAUGAAACUCGGACUGAAUCGGAGAACCGGUUACAACAGGUUCCUAACCUCUUGGAAGUCCCCAACUGACCCAGCAACCGGGAAAUACUCGCUUGGAUUUAACGUCAGUGGGUCUCCUCAAAUAUUUUUGUACCAGGGUUCAGAGCCGCUAUGGAGAAGCGGUCACUGGAACGGGCUCCGGUGGAGCGGUCUGCCGGUGAUGAUGUACAGAUUCCAACACAAAGUUAGCUUUUUGAACAAUCAAGAUGAAAUCUAUUAUAUGUUUAUUAUGGUCAACGCGUCGUUUCUCGAGCGGCUGACGGUGGACCACGAGGGAUAUAUCCAGCGGAACAUGUGGCAGGAAACGGAAGGCAAAUGGUUCAGCUUCUACACAGCCCCAAGGGACAGGUGCGACAGGUACGGCCGGUGCGGACCCAACAGCAACUGUGACAACAGCCAGGCCGAGUUUGAGUGCACGUGCCUGGCGGGAUUCGAGCCCAAGUCGCCACGUGACUUGUUCUUGAAAGACGGCUCAGCGGGAUGUCUGAGGAAGGAAGGAGCGAAGGUGUGCGGGAACGGGGAAGGGUUUGUGAAGGUGGGAGGUGCGAAGCCCCCAGAUACAUCGGUGGCACGUGUGAACAUGAACAUCAGCAUGGAAGCGUGUAGAGAGGAGUGCCUGAAGGAGUGUUCUUGCAGUGGAUACGCGGCUGCAAAUGUGAGUGGAAGUGGGAGUGGGUGCUUGUCUUGGCAUGGGGAUUUGGUGGAUACAAGAGUGUUUCCUGAAGGGGGCCAAAAUUUAUAUGUGCGUGUGGAUGCCAUCACUCUAGGUAUGCUAGCAUUUAAUUGUCAGGAUUCAUGAAUGAUUUCUCUCCCAGAUUUACGAGAUCAUUUAUGAUGUUUUUUUUCGUGUAUUUUUUUAGCUGAAAAUCAAAAGCAGUCAAAAGGUUUCCUUGCGAAGAAGGGGAUGAUGGCAGUUUUGGUGGUGGGGGCUACUGUGAUUAUGGUUCUGUUGGUCUCCACAUUUUGGUUCUUAAGGAAGAAGAUGAAAGGUAAUCAAACAAAAAUUCUUAUGGCUCAUUUAAGCCUUCUAUCCAAUGUUUGUGUCUUGGGCAUGGAUUAACAUGAAGAGAUUAAUAAGAAAAGCCAAACAUUUCUAAGCUCAGUUACCCAGUGAAUUAAUCUGGGAUAGAGUCUUUUUUCCUUGCUUUCAUGGUAUUAAGGAAUUGUAUUAUUUCUUCUUUUUUUUCCCAUUUAUUUUCCCCCACAAUCAAAAAAGCAUUAUUUAUUGUUAUACUUCCAUGACAGGGAGAGGAAGACAAAACAAAAUGUUGUAUAAUUCGAGACCUGGCGCUACAUGGUUGCAAGACUCUCCAGGAGCUAAGGAGCAUGAUGAAAGUACAACCAAUUCUGAAUUACAAUUCUUUGAUCUGAACACCAUAGUUGCAGCCACAAAUAAUUUCUCUUCUGAGAACGAACUUGGACGUGGUGGUUUUGGCUCAGUUUUUAAGGUAGUCAGUCAUUCUCAAAUUUGUGAUGACUAUUGAAAUUGUUGGACUUUCUUUCAUUGCACAAACAUUACGCUAAGCUGAAUUUUUCUAACUGUGAAUAAGUUAAUUCUACAUGACGAUUAUCAGGGUCAGCUAUCUAAUGGACAAGAAAUAGCUGUGAAAAAAUUAUCAAAGGAUUCGGGACAAGGAAAAGAAGAAUUUAAGAAUGAAGCGACACUUAUUGCAAAACUCCAACACGUGAAUCUUGUGAGGCUUGUGGGUUGUUGCAUUACAGAAGAAGAGAAUAUGUUAGUCUAUGAGUACUUGUCAAACAAAAGUUUAGACUCUUUCAUUUUUGGUAUGUAGCAUUUAUUUUUGCCAUUUCCAUUUCUUUAAUCUUCUAAGGUUCUUGCAUAAUCACUUGGAGAAGUUAUUUGCCUAAUAAAAAUCAUUAUUGGUAUAUCCUAAUAUUGUUUUAAUGAUUGAUAUUUUAUAUAUCUUUCGGCCAGAUGAAACAAAGAAGUCAUUGUUAGAUUGGAGGAAACGCUUUGAAAUUAUUGUCGGAAUUGCUCGAGGUAUCUUAUAUCUUCAUGAGGACUCUAGAUUAAGAAUCAUACAUAGAGAUCUAAAAGCAAGCAAUGUUCUACUCGAUGCCGAAAUGUUUCCAAAAAUUUCAGAUUUUGGCUUGGCUAGAAUAUUUCGAGGAAAUCAAAUGGAAGGAAACACAAAUCGAGUAGUUGGAACAUAGUAAGUGUUAUGUUUGAGAUGCCAAAGAAACAUAUUAGUUAAUAUGUUUUAAUAGUUUCUUUUAUUUGCUAUUGCAGUGGUUACAUGUCACCUGAGUAUGCGAUGGAAGGGUUAUUUUCAACAAAAUCCGAUGUCUAUAGCUUCGGAGUUUUGUUGUUAGAGAUUAUUACUGGGAGAAAAAAUAGCACCUAUUAUCGGGACGGUCCAUCCAUAAGCUUAGUUGGAAAUGUAAGUGAGUUGCAUGUGUUGCAUUACUUUUUUUUUUUUUUUUUCAUUCUUUACAGUAAGCUAAUAAUGGUAAAAUUAUCAGGUUUGGAACCUAUGGGAAGAAGGCAAAGCCUUAGAUAUAAUCGAUCUGUCACUACAAAAGUCAUACCCUACAGAUGAAGUAUUGAGAUGCAUCCAAAUUGGGCUCUUAUGUGUCCAAGAAUCUGUAACGGAUCGACCUACCAUGUUGACUAUUAUUUUCAUGUUGGGUAAUAACUCUGCUCUUCCUUUUCCUAAACGACCUGCAUUUAUUUCAAAAACAACUCACAAGGGUGAAGAUCUAUCAUCCUCUGGUGAGGGACUUUUAUCUGUAAAUAAUGUGACUGUGACUGUGCUUCAACCUCGCUAAAUGCUUACACUCUCACAUGUUGUAUGUUUAUCCUCCAUGACAAUGAACACUACAAGAAAAAAGCCUUUCGUUGACAGUUUUUCACCAUCAUGGUAGGGUAUAUCUGUCAAGGUAUAUUACUAUUUAUAUAUGUCAUCUAUGCCAGUGUCAAGAAAAGUUUAAAGUUAUCUUGACAUUUACAUAUGUUAAGGUUGUUUCUAUUUUUACCAAUGAUGGAAUCUUUGUUAGUAUGACAUAUGUCAAUUUUCUUUCACUUUUGUCAAGGUUGGAUUCAACAUAUGUCAAGAUUUCUUGAUCUUAUGUUAAGGUUAACUUGCUC